UUCAAGAGCUCCCCCUUGUCCAGUCAAACGCCAAUCCCUUCUGAUCUCUGAAGCUAAGCAGGGUUGGGCCUGGUUAGUAUUUGGGUGGUAUACAUUCUUUUUGCCAUACAGUUUUGAAGACUGAGUGAUCUUCAGU
rnacentral:rRNA from 1 species